ensembl:snRNA U6 U6 spliceosomal RNA
GUGCUUGCUUCAGCAGCACAUACACUAAAAUUGGAAUGAUACAGAGACUAGCAUGGCCCUGAGCAAAUUCAUGAAAUAUUCCAUAUUUUU